GUCCAGACUCCUACGGGAGGCAGCAGUGGGGGAUAUUGCACAAUGGGGGAAACCCUGAUGCAGCGACGCCGCGUGGGCGAAGAAGUAUUUCGGUAUGUAAAGCCCUAUCAGCAGGGAAGAAGAAAUGACGGUACCUGAGUAAGAAGCACCGGCUAAAUACGUGCCAGCAGCCGCGGUAAUACGUAUGGUGCAAGCGUUAUCCGGAUUUACUGGGUGUAAAGGGAGCGCAGGCGGCACGGCAAGCCUGAUGUGAAAGCCCGCGGCGCAACCGCGGGACUGCAUUGGGAACUACCGGGCUGGAGUGCCGGAGAGGUAGGCGGAAUUCCUAGUGUAGCGGUGAAAUGCGUAGAUAUUAGGAGGAACACCAGUGGCGAAGGCGGCCUACCGGACGGUGACUGACGCUGAGGCUCGAAAGCGUGGGGAGCAAACAGGAUUAGAUACCCUUGUAAC
rnacentral:rRNA from 1 species